AUGAACGUUGACAGAAUGCUUAACACAUGCAAGUCAACUUGAACCUCGGUUUGGGUGGCGGACGGGUGAGUAACGCGUAAAGAACUUGCCUCACAGCUAGGGACAACAUUUGGAAACGAAUGCUAAUACCUGAUAUUAUGAUUAUAUGGCAUCGUAUAAUUAUGAAAGCUAUAUGCGCUGUGAGAGAGCUUUGCGUCCCAUUAGCUAGUUGGAGAGGUAACAGCUCACCAAGGCGAUGAUGGGUAGCCGGCCUGAGAGGGUGAUCGGCCACAAGGGGACUGAGACACGGCCCUUACUCCUACGGGAGGCAGCAGUGGGGAAUAUUGGACAAUGGACCGAGAGUCUGAUCCAGCAAUUCUGUGUGCACGAUGAAGUUUUUCGGAAUGUAAAGUGCUUUCAGUUGGGAAGAAAAAAAUGACGGUACCAACAGAAGAAGUGACGGCUAAAUACGUA
rnacentral:rRNA from 1 species